AUUGAACGCUGGCGGCAGGCCUAACACAUGCAAGUCGAGCGGAUGAAGGGAGCUUGCUCCUGGAUUCAGCGGCGGACGGGUGAGUAAUGCCUAGGAAUCUGCCUGGUAGUGGGGGAUAACGUCCGGAAACGGGCGCUAAUACCGCAUACGUCCUGAGGGAGAAAGUGGGGGAUCUUCGGACCUCACGCUAUCAGAUGAGCCUAGGUCGGAUUAGCUAGUUGGUGGGGUAAAGGCCUACCAAGGCGACGAUCCGUAACUGGUCUGAGAGGAUGAUCAGUCACACUGGAACUGAGACACGGUCCAGACUCCUACGGGAGGCAGCAGUGGGGAAUAUUGGACAAUGGGUGAAAGCCUGAUCCAGCCAUGCCGCGUGUGUGGAGAAGGUCUUCGGAUUGUAAAGCACUUUAAGUUGGGAGGAAGGGCAGUAAGUUAAUACCUUGCUGUUUUGACGUUACCAACAGAAUAAGCACCGGCUAACUUCGUG
rnacentral:rRNA from 1 species